rnacentral:rRNA from 1 species
GACGAACGCUGGCGGCGUGCUUAACACAUGCAAGUCGAACGGAAAGGCCCGGCUUUUGUGGGGUGCUCGAGUGGCGAACGGGUGAGUAACACGUGAGUAACCUGCCCUUGACUUUGGGAUAACUUCAGGAAACUGGGGCUAAUACCGGAUAGGAGCUCCUGCUGCAUGGUGGGGGUUGGAAAGUUUCGGCGGUUGGGGAUGGACUCGCGGCUUAUCAGCUUGUUGGUGGGGUAGUGGCUUACCAUGGCUUUGACGGGUAGCCGGCCUGAGAGGGUGACCGGCCAAGUCGGGCCGGAGAUACGGCACAGACUCCUCCGGGAGGCAGCAGUGGGGAAGAUUGCACAAGGGGCGGAAGGCUGAUGCAGCAACGCCGCGUGCGGGAUGUCGGCCUUCGGGUUGUAAACCGAUUUCGCCUGUGACGAAGCGUGAGUGACGGUACUGGGUAAAGAAGCACCGGCUAACUACGUG